AAAGCAUGGGGAGCGAACAGGAUUAGAUACCCUGGUAGUCCAUGCCGUAAACGUUGGGCACUAGGUGUGGGGGACAUUCCACGUUUUCCGCGCCGUAGCUAACGCAUUAAGUGCCCCGCCUGGGGAGUACGGCCGCAAGGCUAAAACUCAAAGGAAUUGACGGGGGCCCGCACAAGCGGCGGAGCAUGCGGAUUAAUUCGAUGCAACGCGAAGAACCUUACCAAGGCUUGACAUGGACCGGACCGCCGCAGAAAUGUGGUUUCCCCUUUGGGGCCGGUUCACAGGUGGUGCAUGGUUGUCGUCAGCUCGUGUCGUGAGAUGUUGGGUUAAGUCCCGCAACGAGCGCAACCCUCGUUCCAUGUUGCCAGCGCGUAAUGGCGGG
rnacentral:rRNA from 1 species